GAAUAAAGUAUAGUUUUAGGUACAUUAUGUUUAAUAGGGAAAGUGGUUAAAGUCCACUACAGCCCCCGCUACUGUGUACGAAGACGAAAUCUCAUAGAAAAACCACUGGAGUGUAUUUCUGGGAAGGUGAGAUGGAGGAUGAUACGUGAGUCAGGAGACCUGCCUAAAGCAUAGAUAUGACA
rnacentral:ncRNA from 15 species